rnacentral:rRNA from 1 species
UCAGUUCGGAUUGUAGUCUGCAACUCGACUACAUGAAGCUGGAAUCGCUAGUAAUCGCGAAUCAGAAUGUCGCGGUGAAUACGUUCCCGGGUCUUGUACACACCGCCCGUCACACCAUGGGAGUUGGGAAUGCCCGAAGCCGGUGACCUAACCGCAAGGAAGGAGCCGUCGAAGGCAGGCUUGAUAACUGGGGUGAAGUCGUAACAAGGUAUC